CACACAUACACGUCAUGCAUAUGCGCACAGCCCUGCCUACCCUUUGCUCUCAGCUAGGCAAGUAGAACUGGUCCUAGCCGUUUGGGCUCGUUUGGGGUUCGCUCUGGAGCUUUUAAUAUCCAAAGGAAUCUUUGUUCUCGCCAUGGAGCCAUUGCUCAUCUCAUUUAGCUCUUAUGUAAGACAUGCUUUGGAUCUGAUAUGUGGGGGAAAAAAAACAUUACCCAUUUUACUCGUUUUGAAUAAGCUAAAUAUAACCAUCCUCCCCAUUUCCUGGAGCCAAUAAAGACUGCUUGGAAUGAAUAGAGGAAAGAAAGACACGGAAUGUGAAAAAGAGCCGAGUCUGGGCAUACAGAAACCUGGGUUCAAAGCCUGGCUCUGCCCCUCGUCUGUUGUGCGACCCAGAAAAGUCAAUCGGGCACCUCAUCCACCAAAUGAGAAGGUUGUGCCAGAACCUCUGGCCUUUGAGAUGCCUGCGGCUCUGACAUCCUGCUUUUCUGUGAAAAGUAAGACGGGGAGUUGAAGCAUCUUAUUUUGCUAGCCAUCCAGGAGAUGAGUCAUUUUUAUUAUUCAGAAACUUUUCCAAAUUAAUUUUGACGUGGUCCUGUGUGGUAAGAAAUAGCUAAUGUCUUCUCUCCUCCCGUUCCUGUUCUAGUGUCUAGAAAUAGUCAUUCAGACUCACGGUCUCCCCUUUUCAACUCCUGCCACCCUCCCUGCCGUGCAGUUUCUGACUCCCCUAUCCUUUGUAACUGAUCCUGUCAAGGUCACCGUCACCUCCUGUGGUCGAAUCAACAGGCAUGUCCCAGUCCUUUUCCUACCUUGACUUCUUCUCAGGAACAUUUUGCCAUAGGUGACCAUCUCUCUUUUUUGAGAUACUCUCUUCCCUAGGGCUGAGAGGGAAAAUGACUUUGCCCUCGCAGAGCCCUGAGUGCCAACGCCAGGAUUUGUACCCAUGAUGUUAGUGCCAAAGCCUGGGCCUCAAUGCUGCAGGUACCAUGUCAGCAUUUUCGGUGAUUUGCCUUCCCGCUGGGAUCAUUUUGCCACCACAUUCUAGAUUCUCCAGGUGAUUCAGUCCUUCACUCAUUCAUCAAUGACUUGUCAACAGCCAACUCUUUACCAGGCACCAGAUGAUGAGAUGGGGGUAUAGCCAGACCAGCAUGACCCCCGCUCUCCCAGCAUUUAUAAUUCAGUAGAAGAGUCAGGCAUUAAACAGGUAAGUACAAGAUACAUGUAUACAUACAAACAUGAUGAGUUCUCGGAAUGAAAGUACCAGAUGCUGUGAGAGAUGAGAACAAGGGGGACAGACAGGAUGUGGGCAAAUGCCACUUGGAGAGAGUGACAAUGACAGGAGAAGGAGCUGGCAGAAAGGAUAGAGAGGGUGGGAGCUCACUGGGCAGAGGAGACAGCACACCCCUAUUGGGGCCUGGUGGGGGUGGCAUCUUAGAAGGGGUACCUGGGGGACUAGGCCUUGUCAUUACCAACAGCCUCCUGUUUUUACUUAGAUGGAGGUUUUGGAGUGGCUUGGGGAAGCCGAUGAAGACUCUGGAGGAACUAAGCCCUUCCCAUGCCUCCCCCUCCCCCCCUUGAACACCACCCCUGGGGCCAGGUCCAGAGGAGGCCACGGCUGGACCAUUUCAGGGCCUACAAGGGGCCAGACUUCCUUGUGGAGGGCAAGCACUCGUAUCAUUACGAAGCCCUCGGAGGUGACCUGGUCCCCCUCCUCCGCACACAGAUGUGGAACCCGAGGCUGGCGAGCUGUAGGGACUCCCUGGCAGGCUCAUGCGACCACUACCUUAAUUGAGGCUAAUGUCCAGAACAACUAGAUGAGUGGUCAUCCUCCCCCAAGCUGGUCAAACUGUACCUGGAAUGCUGUGUUCUGGAAGCCAGCCCUUAACAGGAACACCAAGAAACAGAAAGACGUCUGGAGGCGAGAUAGGCUGGGGUCUGGACACCCUGUCCCGUGAAGAAAGAAUCACAGCUAAACACCAUGGAGAAGGGCAAAAUCUGGGUUAUGUAACUCCUUAUCUUCCCAUCUCUGUCACAGUGAGGGCUAAGUGAUCUCAUCUGGGUGGCUCUGAGGAGCAGGACAAGGGCCAGUGGUUAUAAGUCACUGGGAGGCAGAGCCACUAGU